AUUGAACGCUGGCGGCAGGCCUAACACAUGCAAGUCGAACGGUAACAGGAAGAAGCUUGCUUCUUUGCUGACGAGUGGCGGACGGGUGAGUCAUGUCUGGGAAACUUCCUGAUGGAGGUGGCUCAGUACUAGAAACGUUAGUUAAUACCGCAUAACGUCGCAAGACCAGAAAGGGGGUCCUUCCUGCCUCUUGCCAUCUGAUGUGCCCAGAUGGGAUUAGCUAGUAGGUGGGGUAACGGCUCACCUAGGGGACGAUCCCUAGCUGGUCUGAGAGGAUGACCAGCCACACUGGAACUGAGACACGGUCCAGACUCCUACGGGAGGCAGCAGUGGGGAAUAUUGCACAAUGGGCGAAAGCCUGAUGCAGCAAUGCCGCGUGUAUGAAGAAGGCCUUCGGGUUGCAAAGUACUUUCAGCGGGGAGGAAGGGAGUAAAGUUAAUACCUUUGCUCAUUGACGUUACCCGCAGAAGAAGCACCGGCUAACUCCGUG
rnacentral:rRNA from 1 species